rnacentral:rRNA from 1 species
UACGGAGGGGGCAAGCGUUACUCGGAAUUAUUGGGCGUAAAGGGCGCGUAGGCGGUCGUGCGCGUCGGAGGUGAAAUCCCCCGGGCUUAACCUGGGAACUGCGUCGGAUACUGGAUGGCUUGAAUUCGGGAGAGGGAUGCAGAAUUCCAGGUGUAGCGGUGAAAUUCGUAGAUAUUCGGAAGAACACCAGUGGCGAAGGCGACUCGCUGGACAAGUAUUGACGCUGAGGUGCGAAAGCGUGGGGAGCAAACAGG